CUUAAUUUGUUGGUGUUCCAGUGUUAGCUGAUGCACUGUCUCUGCUAAAUCAUUUUGUUCUGCGCUGAGUUCGUCGGAGCGGGCCUCAAGGCGGUUGGUGCGCUCACCGAUAUCAUUGAUGUCUUUCCUCAGUUCGCUUGUGACUUUUUUGAAGUCAUGCUGGAGCGACACUCUGAAUUCUUGGAGCAUGGUAUAUAAUCUCUUUUCGGUUACGGGCGCAUCUGUGUAGUGGCCUGUAUCGCCC